rnacentral:rRNA from 1 species
GAUGAACGCUGGCGGCGUGCUUAACACAUGCAAGUCGAACGAGAAGUGAAGACGGAAACCUUCGGGCGGAAGGCUUUAUUUCGAGUGGCGGACGGGUGAGUAACGCGUGGGUAACCUGCCUCAUACAGGGGGAUAACAGUUUGAAACGACUGUUAAUACCGCAUCAGACCACAGCACCGCAUGGUGCGGUGGUAAAAACUCCGGUGGUAUGAGAUGGACCCGCGUUCGAUUAGCCAGUUGGCGGGGUAACGGCCCACCAAAGCGACGAUCGAUAGCCGAUCUGAGAGGAUGACCGGCCACAUUGGGACUGAGACACGGCCCAAACUCCUACGGGAGGCAGCAGUGGGGAAUAUUGCACAAUGGGGGAAACCCUGAUGCAGCGACGCCGCGUGAGUGAAGAAGUAUUUCGGUAUGUAAAGCUCUAUCAGCAGGGAAGAAAAUGACGGUACCUGAGGAAGAAGCCCCGGCUAACUACGUG